GGGUCUGUAGCUCAGUCGGUUAGAGCGCUGUCUUGAUAGGGCGGGGGUCGUUGGUUCGAUCCCGUCCACCUCCA
rnacentral:tRNA from 1 species